rnacentral:tRNA from 1 species
GCUCUCGUGGCGAAACGGUGAUCGCGCCGGCCUCUUAAGCCGUGAGUUGGAGGUUCGAAUCCUUCCGGGAGCACCA